rnacentral:rRNA from 1 species
GACGAACUGUGCAAACGUUAUUCGGAAUCACUGGGCUUAAAGCGCGUGUAGGCGGGGUGGCACGUCGGUCGCUGAAAGCCCCCGGCUCAACCGGGGAAGGGGCGCCGAUACGACCACCCUGGAGGGACGUAGGGGGACCUGGAACUUCCGGUGGAGCGGUGAAAUGCGUUGAGAUCGGAAGGAACGCCCGUGGCGAAAGCGAGGUCCUGGACGUUUACUGACGCUGAGACGCGAAAGCCAGGGGAGCGAACGGG